AAAUAGAAAAAUAAAAC
rnacentral:sRNA from 1 species